rnacentral:rRNA from 1 species
CCUACGGGUGGCAGCAGUGAGGAAUAUUGGUCAAUGGACGAGAGUCUGAACCAGCCAAGUCGCGUGAAGGACGACUGCCCUAUGGGUUGUAAACUUCUUUUAUCUGGGAAUAAAAUGUUCCACGUGUGGGUUUUUGUAUGUACCUUAUGAAUAAGGAUCGGCUAACUCCGUGCCAGCAGCCGCGGUAAUACGGAGGAUCCGAGCGUUAUCCGGAUUUAAUGGGUUUAAAGGGAGCGUAGGCGGAUUGUUAAGUCAGUUGGGAAAGUUUGCGGCUCAACCGGAAAAGUGCAGUUGAAACUGGCAGUCUUGAGUACAGGAGAGGUGGGCGGAAUGCGUGGUGUAGCGGUGAAAUGCUUAGAUAUCACGAAGAACUCCGAUUGCGAAGGCAGUUCACUGGACUGCAACUGACGCUGAGGCACGAAAGUGUGGGUAUCAAACAGGAUUAGAUACCCUGGUAGUC